GUCAGUACGUGAAAGAUUGACUUGAUGCAAAACAUCCCAAAGGCGAUUUUUGAGAACUGAUAGUGCAUCAGCUGACCCAGGUAAUUUAAAAUAUUCUUCAUCCAGAGAUAGAGGUGGUUCUUCCUCUUACGGACUGCAACCUUCAAAUUCAGCUGUGGUGUCUCGGCAAAGGCACGAUGAUACCAGAGUCCACGCUGACAUACAGAAUGACGAAAAGGGUGGCUACAGUGUCAGUGGGGGAUCUGGGGAAAAUACUUAUGGUCGGAAGUCGUUGGGGCAAGAGCUGAGGGUUAACAAUGUGACCAGCCCUGAGUUCACCAGUGUUCAGCAUGGCAGUCGUGCUUUAGCCACCAAAGACAUGAGGAAAUCACAGGGUAAGGCUGGGAAAACGGGGACCAAUCACAUACACCUUCCAAAGACUUGUAUCUCCUCUUAUUCUGGAUGCCUCUUACUAAUGCCUUGCAAAGGCAUAAGUUGAUUAGCCUACUGUGCAGGUAAAAAUUGUUUACAUUCUUUUCCUGUGAAUUGUUAAUUUCCCACUAGAAAGGCUAUAGUACAUUUUAAAAGAGAAUUCUCUUAAAACAAGAUUAGAAGACUGGAUAAGAUCUUACAGAAAAGGUUUACCCAAUUAUCGUGGAUAUUGAAUGUAUAGUGCAUAGUAGGCUCCUACUACAGCAAGUCCUUGA